GAAGAAUCACGGCUUCGCAGUGCGCACACGGGGAGCUUGCUCCCAGAGAUGCUGCGAAGAAGGUCCCCGUCCCGUGCCUUGGUGCAGAGAGUGCGAGUGGGAGACCGCAGGGCUCGUGCCAGACUUCCAGUGGUGAUGCUUCUCGCAGAGCUUUGGUGGCGGGCUCGGGCCCUUCGCAGCAGUACCUCCAGUGGUGAUGCUUCUCGUGGCGGGCGCGGGCCCUUAGCAGCAGCACAGACAUGCCGUGAGCGCUCAUGAUUGGAGUGCCAACAGAACGGGGCUCACUCUCC
rnacentral:RNase_MRP_RNA from 14 species